UUUACAGUUUUCUCUAACUAUCAACACUAUGUGGAACAUAUUAAGUAUUACGUUUCUUUUCCAAAUAACUUUUAGUGUAUUAAAUUACAAUGAUGCUAUAAGUAUUAAAUUUUCAAACCUGGAAUGUGAGUCCAAAAAUCAAUCAUGGAUCAUUGUACACAGUUGUCGACUGAAAGCAAUCAAUAGGCAUCGAGUGGAUGUUAACUUUAAUUCGACUAUUCUUCAUCCAGUGAAUAACUUGCAUGCCCGUGGUCAGUUGCUAAAAAGGCAAAUGGUUAUAAGCCGUGGCUAAUAGAUUACACAGUUGAUGUAUGUGCAUUUUAAGAAAAAAUAACCAUCCAUUUGUAAAGAUACUCUACGACAUUUUUAGACCAAAGUCAAACAUUAAUCACACAUGUCCUUACAUGGGCCCAAUUAUAGUGAAAGACUUAUAUCUUACACCGAAUUCCAUACGACUUCCUUUUCCAACUGGUGAUUAUUGCCUUCUUAUAGAAUGGAAAUUUGAUAGAAGGAUACAAAUUAUUACGAAAUAUUGUAUGGAAUAUAUCGA